AGAAAGAACGCAGCCCUACUGACACCUUGGUUUUGGCCUGGUGAGACCAACUUUGGACUUUUCACUUCCAAAACUGUUUAAAGAAAAAAGUCUACAGUUCCAGUUAGUCUACUUUUGUAACAGGACCUGACAACUCCACUCUACUUCCAAUCCUGAAAGACUACAGGAAAAACUAGCCCAAGUGACUGAGCUGGGGGGUCCCAGUCAUCGGUAGCAUGAAAACGAAGAGUGCUCUGGACAGUGGGUGGAGAAGAUUCAAGUACAUCUUCCUUGCUGACAAUAUGCUCUCCUAUCUUUUGUAAGAGUACACAAUUUAAAUUUCUAAAAAUUCAUUACAAUACAAAGCAAAACAAUCCCUCGUAGAUUUAUAAUCAAACUAAUAUGCCACUUAGAAAAGAUUUGAAAUAAAUGCAAAUACCUAGGUACAA
rnacentral:lncRNA from 10 species